UGUUGAAAUUGAUAAUUCAGGGGUUAUUCCAUUUCAAUGUACUUUAGGGAGACUCAAUUUGUUUGGAACAAGAAGAAAAACGUUAUAUGACGAGCAAGUUUUUGUCGUUCUAUAGUACAAGUUAAAUACCUUCAUAGCAUCUGUUAUCGCCAGAGGGAUGAAAAAGGAGUAUGCAUAUCGUUGCAGCAGGACGGGUACAAUAGAGUGUCCCGUGGACAACUUUUUUGUAGACUGUUAAAACUUUGAAAUCGUUCGAUCCUAACCGAUUAUCUACAUCCCAACACGCUUACAUGAAAAAUCCCUCGACCAUAGGCCAUCAGUGGCCUUCCUUAAUAUUGAAGGGUCCUUUAAAAAUGUGCUACCAGAAUUUAUUUUAUCGGCACUGGUCAGGUUGUGUGUUUACCAACCAAUCUCCCUUCUGUCCAAUAGAGUCAUAAUUUCUACUAUGAGAAAUGUUUACAGAAUGGUGAAACGUGGCUCUCCACAAGGCGGGGUCUUAUCGCCUAUCCUAUGAAAAGAAUUCUGUACAAAAUUCAAUGAGACGACUGAGUCGUUGGAGUACUAACAGUAGUCUCAGUGCCAAUCCUGGGAAACUCGAAACUGUUCUGUUCUUAAAAAGUUACAAGACUCCCUCCUUCCUACUACCAUGCCCAAACCGAGUAUAAUUAACACUCUCUGACACUGCAUAAUAUCUUGGUAUCAAUCGAGAUUCUAAAUUAUCAAGGAAUCUUAUUAUCAAAACAAGAUCCUCUAAGCCAUCUAUCGCGAUGUAUGCAUGUAGAAAAGUCUUAGGUAAGAACUGCGAAAUGGUUAUUCGACAUGGUAAAAAAAAUGGUAAAACCCAUGCUGAUAUAUGGUGCACUCUUCUGGUGGAAAGCUUGGAAAAUCUACCUACUGCAAUUAUA